rnacentral:ncRNA from 1 species
UUAAAGUUUUAUUCUUGUUUAUUGGUUUACUUAUAGGUUGUUUUACAUGUAAAUUUUUGUGAGUUUUAAAUAUUAUCUAAAUGAUAAAUUUUGUUAAUCGCAGUAUUUGAUAUUAUUAAUUAAAGUGAUUUAGAAAUAGUAAAUUUAUUAGGUAUUGGCAGAAGUCGUGCCAGCAGUCGCGGUUAUACGUAGAAUACAAGUGAACAUUUUUAGUUGAAAGUUAGUAUAUUUAAAUUUGAAUAUAUAAUUAAUUUUAUUAGGUGAAAUUAUAAAUUUAUAGAAGUUCAUAAAUUAUUAAUAGGAAGCUUUGAAACUUAAAUUAAAAACUAGGAUUAGAUACCCUAUUAUUUUAAGUGUAAAUUAUUUAGGCUUGAGUAGUAAUAGAUAUGAUCUUGAAACUCAAAGAAUCUGGCGGUGUUUUAGUCUUUUCAGAGGAAUCUGUCCCAUAAUCGAUAGUUCACGUUUAACUUUACUUAUUCUUGUAAAAUCAAUUUGUAUACCGCCGUCAUCAGAUUAUCUUUUUAGAGGAAAAAUUUUCUUUAUAUUUAAGUAGAUAGAAUGUCAGGUCAAGGUGCAGUUUAUGGGUAAGUGGAGAUGGAUUACAAUAAAAUUAUUUAUAUGGAAAUUUACUUGAAAUUGUGAAUUGAAGGUGGAUUUGAAAGUAAUUUUAUUAUUUAUAAAGUGAUUAUAGCUCUAAAACAUGUACACAUCGCCCGUCGCUCUCGUUAGUUAAAUUGAGAUAAGUCGUAACAUAGUAGAUGUACUGGAAAGUGUAUCUGGAAUUA